rnacentral:rRNA from 1 species
AUGGCUGCAUUUCCGCUCAAGAUGGUGGCCAUAUGCGCCGUGCUGGUCAUCCUCCUGUCUAUCGCGGGGCAGCCAGCGAUGGCCGACAUAACAAAUGGUCUAGCUUGCCCGAGUGCCGAUACGCUAUGCCGCGAUCGAUGCAGACCAGCGUGCAACUUCUUUGCCAAUGUCAUGUGCAACAUGAUAUGCACCCUCACGCCACAAGUGCUCGGAGGGGUGGACCAGGCCUGCGUGAACCAGGCCAUCCUCCCUUGCAUGACCGCCUGCAAGAACUUGUGUGAGCCCCUCCCGGUACAAAAUCCUUGA